CAAGUCGAGCGGAAACGAGUUAUCUGAACCUUCGGGGAACGAUAACGGCGUCGAGCGGCGGACGGGUGAGUAAUGCCUAGGAAAUUGCCCUGAUGUGGGGGAUAACCAUUGGAAACGAUGGCUAAUACCGCAUGAUGCCUACGGGCCAAAGAGGGGGACCUUCGGGCCUCUCGCGUCAGGAUAUGCCUAGGUGGGAUUAGCUAGUUGGUGAGGUAAGGGCUCACCAAGGCGACGAUCCCUAGCUGGUCUGAGAGGAUGAUCAGCCACACUGGAACUGAGACACGGUCCAGACUCCUACGGGAGGCAGCAGUGGGGAAUAUUGCACAAUGGGCGCAAGCCUGAUGCAGCCAUGCCGCGUGUAUGAAGAAGGCCUUCGGGUUGUAAAGUACUUUCAGUCGUGAGGAAGGUGGUAGUGUUAAUAGCACUAUCAUUUGACGUUAGCGACAGAAGAAGCACCGGCUAACUCCGUGCCAGCAGC
rnacentral:rRNA from 1 species